rnacentral:rRNA from 1 species
GACAGAGGGUGCAACCGUCGUUCGGAUUUACUGGGCGUAAAGCGCGUGUAGGCGGCUUUGCAAGUCGGAUGUGAAAGCCCACGGCUCAACCGUGGAAGUGCAUCCGAAACUGCAUGGCUUGAGUCUCGGAGAGGAAGGUGGAAUGCUUGGUGUAGAGGUGAAAUUCGUAGAUAUUCGCAAGAACACCAGUGGCGAAGGCGGCUGACUGGUCCGGUUCUGACGCUGAGGCGCGAAAGCGUGGGGAGCAAACAGG